rnacentral:rRNA from 1 species
UACGAAGGGGGCUAGCGUUGCUCGGAAUCACUGGGCGUAAAGCGCACGUAGGCGGGUUGUUAAGUCAGGGGUGAAAUCCUGGAGCUCAACUCCAGAACUGCCUUUGAUACUGGCAAUCUCGAGUUCGGGAGAGGUGAGUGGAACUGCGAGUGUAGAGGUGAAAUUCGUAGAUAUUCGCAAGAACACCAGUGGCGAAGGCGGCUCACUGGCCCGAUACUGACGCUGAGGUGCGAAAGCGUGGGGAGCAAACAGG